GGAACAUAGCUCAAUUGGUAGAGCACCCGGCUUAUAUCCGGGCGGUUGCGGGUUCGAUUCCCGCUGUUUCCA
rnacentral:tRNA from 1 species